AAGAGAGAAAGACUGGGGUUAGGUCAUUCAUAUGGGAUUCCCCUGUGAUUUACUGUUUGAUUAAUAUUGCCCAAUGAAAGAAUAAUUUUCAGAUUCAACAUAUUGCUUUUCCCAGAAAAUACAUGAAGUGGAUGCCUUCUGUGGGAACAGAGGACAGAGAUUGGUGUACAACUAUCACACUUGCUCUGAAAUUCUUGUCCAGCAUUUGACAAAGAAGACCAGAAACUACCCUGCUGACUCCAUUUUUUCAUAGUUACCCCUUAAAGGAGAAAAAAAUAAAAGCAAUAAUAUAGUGAGCAAUUGGAGAAUAGGAAAUAGAUUUUUGUCUUUAGAGGAGUUGUAAAAUGUGUGGCUUCUCUUCAGAAUUCAGAAGUACACAGGGCAGGGACCCAGCAAUUUCAGCACAGAUUCCAAGGUCACAUUUCUCGUGUAGGUGAAUUUGGACAAAGCACAAUAGGGCUUUAUAUAUGCAGAUAUUUACUGGGUUACAGUUCCUUAGACAUGCCAGUGAUUGUCGAUGACAUUGUCACCAUUCUGAAUGGCAGACAAGUUACUCCUCAGUCCAGUCUCCCCUCCAUCUGUCUACUCACUCACCACCACAGUGUGUCUUGGCUAAUUAUUAUAGCUCUUCAGAUGUUCCCAAGCCCGUUGCACUUUUCUUUAACUCAGUAGUAUUUCUUGCGUACCUGUCAUGUUCUGGAUACUAAUGAGUGGUCAACAUGAUCCAAGUUCCCAUGUGAUUUAUGGUCUAGGAGGGAGAGUAGAUUAAAAUAGCAACCCACUUCUAUCAACAAAU
rnacentral:lncRNA from 1 species